CUAUAAAUCGAGAAAUUGGAAGAUAAAAUUUGUAAAAUUUUUAACUUAUAUUGCGAAUAUCUCUACAACUAUAAGUUUUCGGCGGCUAUAAUUACAUAUAUUCUUAAUCCGGAGAAUCUCCCCUACCCAUUUUAACCAUGAAAUCGUGGAAUGGUACACUAAAGUUCCCCUUAAAGUUGGGUUUAAAAUGGCUAUGGGUUCGGGUUUAAAUUGGCUAUGGGUUGUUAGAGGGAGCCCUACAGAUUUAGAUAAUGUGUAUAUACAACUACCGCUAAUUGGCAGUUUUUAAGAUAUUCGUAUUUAAAAUGCAUAAAUUUAAAAUUUUAAGUAUGGUAUUAAGUAUGGAAUGUAGGGAUCUCCAAUAGAGUAUAUGUAUUAAUGAUCAGCGUGAUGAGCUGAGCCGAGUUAGCCAUGAGCGGGGAUGGACACGGCCAAAACCAAACGACUCAGAAAAUGACAUUGUGUUAGUGCGUUUGCAGUGUAACAAAGCAAAUCAACGGGUCUGAACCGGGACAAGCUUUCUCAAUAUGUGCACAUGCAAAUGAAUGUAUUAAAACUAAUAUUACAGGUAGAGUGGCAAUUAAAUUAUAGUUGGACAAUUUGACAUUUAAAAAAGGGACUUUGAUAUUUUAUCGAGUAAGAAUUAAUUUAAUUUCAUACGUAAAAUAUGGAUCUAUCCGCAACAACAUAUUCAGUCAACUGCUAAUUGCAGACUGCAUCCGAUUAAAAUCAAGCUCUUUUAUGGACAAUUACUUUUAAUUUGGCAGUAUAUAUUGUUCAUAUCGGACGACUAUAUUAAAUAUUUAAUGUACAAACUGACCUAUCAAAAUCAAGAUAAAGAUUUUUUAUACCCCAUUAUUCUUUGGAUAUUUUAGCUUCUUCGAGUUGACAAUCCUUGACCGGAUAAAAAUCCGAGUCCGUUCCGGUUACGUAAGCCCGACUGUCGUGGGAACGGAUUUAUAAUGGGUGUUCUUUUUAUAAUAUGUCUUUUCAUACAUUUACAUUUUACUAAUUUGUUUCUACCUUUUCAAAUAUAUUUAUUUUGUAUUUAAUAUUGCAUAAAUAGCUUUGAAUCAAUAUUCAACUAUUUGUUAUUCGUUUUUAAAGAAAAAAGUAUAUUUUAACUAAGUCGGGUGUAACCGAGUAUUUUAUACUCCUUCAACUUGGAUCAAAGCAGGGAAAAUACCUUCACGUGUGGCAAAACUAAAAAAAUUUGCGAAAGUUGAAGUAAUUCGUAGUCCAAUAUCACAUAUUUUCGGCAUUAAACUAUACGAUUAUCUAAUCCUCGCUUGGGUGGUAAGGUUCAGGUUGAUCGUCGUCGAAAUCAUCUUACGGUAGGCCCAGGAAACAUUCUUUUUCAACUGGGUCAGACCAUAGGGAGAAAGGUGUGAGUUGGGCAAAACAUGGUGGUUGGUAUCAUGCUGAGACUCGUUGAAUGCUGCACAUACAUAUAUUUGGUAUGUCGGGGUCGAUUCUGCAUUGGUAGGAGUUUAAUCUGCUACAGUACCCAGAACGAAGUUGCGCAAGAGUUACUCUAGAUUAUCGAGGCAACUCGAGCUCUUCGUCUGCAAUGGGUGGUGAGUAGACUACAGUGCAUGUCUGAAGUUUGUUGCGUCCACGUCCACGUAGUCAAUGAAGGGUCUUGAUGUUCUUGGGAGGAGGUUCCGCUUCAAGCAGACGAUUGCAAGGGUGGAAACAUCUCAGCAGAAACUGCUUGGAGAGGAGUCAUUGUGUUCCUUAACCGGAAGCAUACGGGCCUCGCUGUGUAGGUGUUCGGCGGAAGCUACCAAGAGGCAUCCCAUGAUAGUCCGGAGUGCAGUGUUCUGACAUGUCUGAUGCUUCUUCGUCUGCGUUGCACUACAUCCAGGUGACCAUAUCGGUGCAGCGUAGUUUAAGACCGGGCGGCCGAUUGCCGUGUUGCCAACAAUAAGCUGCCGGCUUUGUACUGUGGCAUUUAUCGUGGGUGUGUGAGGAGUGAAGAAGCACAGUCUGCCAAAAGUUACACCUAAAAUCCUAGCGUUAAUGACUGUCGGAAUUGUAAUGCCACUCCUUGCAGAGAAGAAGCGAGAAAGUUCGGAGAGAUAGCCGUUUACUCUUGAGCACAUGACAUCGAUUCCUUGCCCAACGUCUAUAUCGUGCAAUCAUCAGAGUACGAGGUGAUGGAAAAUCCCUCUGGUUUCGAUAUGUAGAAAUUUAACAUUAAUGGGGAGAGGACACCACCUUGCGGAACCCCCUGUUUAAUUAUUCUUAGUUUAGAUGUUUGACCUCGAUACAGUACGGAUGAUUGUCGACCGCUUCAACCGUGGAGAGAGCGUGGAUUGACAAGUCCAAUGCUACAAGGAUCGUUCCUCACAGAAGGACUUCUGGUUUAGGCAAUGAACUUUCUGUGCGCUUAUGACGCUAAUUUCUGUGGUGGUGCUAUGCACUUUUCAGAAGCCAUGCUGGUGGUCUGCUAGGCUCAGGUUGUGAGUGAAUGUCAGGAGUAGCAAGGCCUCAAGGGUCUUCACUACUGGGUAAAGGAGAGUUAUCGGACGAUAAAACUCCCCUUUGUUGGCGAGUUGCCCAGGUUUCAGUAGUGGUCUUCCGACUUUCCACACAUCGGGUAUUUGAAGAGUGGUCAGCGAAUGGUUGAGGACUUUGGUUAGGAAACUUACUCCCGUAGCAUCAGCGUGUUUAUUCCAUCAGAGCCAAUGGAUUUGGAAGAUUUUGCCUUGACCGCCAGAUAUCAAAGAUGUGAACCUCAGUGCCUAAAGCUACCUUUUACCUUUAAAUAUCGGUCAAUUUGUGAUAUAAUUAUUGAAACACCAAUAUAUACUAUAAAGGGAUUUCAAACUUCCGGAUUACUUUGUAUCAUGUAUGUCAAUCAAUAUGUAAUAUAUCUUUCCGAAAUUAUGUGAACGUCUAAUAUUGAUUAUAUUAGGCGUCAUAAGCUCAUCGUUGACAAACACACUUAGCUUAUUUCAUAUAUUCAAAUUGUGUUGGCUAUGCGGGCAAGAACAGUCAGUUGAUAUUCAAUUAAUUCAAAAUGUCUGACAUGAAGUGAACAUAAGUUUAAAUUUAUUAAUUUGUAAACGAAUUAUUAAAAUACCUUACAAAUAUAUUGAUUUUGUUUAUUUGAGGUCAAGAAUACAAAAAAAUGUAAACAAAAGUUUUAAUUGCCUUAAUUUUAACCCAAAUCCUAUCUACAAGAAUCUGUAAUUUUGGCCAACACCUUGUUUUUUUUGUUGUGCAAAAA